rnacentral:rRNA from 1 species
UACGUAGGGACCAAGCGUUGUUCGGAUUUACUGGGCGUAAAGGGCGCGUAGGCGGCUUAACAAGUCACUUGUGAAAUCUCCGGGCUUAACUCGGAACGGCCAAGUGAAACUGUCAAGCUAGAGUGCAGAAGGGGCAAUCGGAAUUCUUGGUGUAGCGGUGAAAUGCGUAGAUAUCAAGAGGGACACCUGAGGUGAAGACGGGUUGCUGGGCUGACACUGACGCUGAGGCGCGAAAGCCAGGGGAGCAAACGGG